rnacentral:lncRNA from 1 species
AACCUUACGACAUUAGGUAUAUGAGUCAAAGUAAUCAAGUAAGUGUUAAUAAUUACAUCAUAUUUAAAUAAAAAUGUAUUUUCAGUAUCUUAUUACUUUGUGCUGACAUUAUUGUCAUUGUGAUUCAUAUGAUUGAUAAUAGUAUAUGUAUGUGUUUUUGAUAAUAUGGCCACAGAAAAGAGAGGAAUGAAUACAAAUGAUGUGUAGACAUGAUUUCCUUGCAGAACCUUCAUAUUUUUAUUUUUGUUUUAUCACAAUUUUGUUAGUUGUUAACUAGUUUGUGUUUAUUAUUACUAGUUACAGAAGCACAAGAUCAAUGCAAUGUAUGCUAAAACUAACGGAAUUUCGACAAGCUACGUUUAGAAGGAGUCAAUUGCAUAAUUUGAGAGGGAGUUUCAUGUUCCCUGCAAUUAGAGGUA